rnacentral:tRNA from 1 species
UGGGGUAUCGCCAAGUGGUAAGGCAGCAGGUUUUGGUCCUGCCAUCUCGGAGGUUCGAAUCCUUCUACCCCAGCCA